CCUAAAGUGGAAAAAUAAAUGGCGCGUCAUCGAUUCGCGGCCCCGUGAACAAUUUCGUGCACAGUUAACGCCCUCUGGCGGAGGAUUCAGCCUUCAGGGUUCGAUACCGGAGCUCUCCGCGUCCAGAGAGCAUUUGUCGCAGUUAUUCGAGUCGAUGGUGCAAUAACGGGGCGCGCGAUAGUAAAUCCUGAUUACUAUUACUGAUACGGGCGCAAAAAGCUGCCCGCUGGUAAUGCAUACACUUGGCCGACUGCGUGCGCGCACCUACUCGCGCGCGCGUGUGUACGUAACGCCAUGUUGGAACGGUGUAUUGCACGCGCAACAGUGUGUCCAACCACACUUAGAGAUAGGGAAGCCUUUUAACGAAUGUUGGAAAGUUCACUGAACCCAUUAUCGCUUAGGUAUGUACCGGGGUAAGAAUCCGAACAAUCGUGGCUGACAAGUCGGUUAGACAACAACGGUGUUACAUUUAAGAGCUGCCAACAGAUGAAUAACUGGCAGGGGAUGGUCGAGUUGGUAAUAAUUGUUGUUGCACUUGAACAUUUCCUCUGCUACUCUUGGCAAAGGAACUUCCACUGAAAUGUAUGGAGAUUCCAUUCAAAAUAAGUGCAAUUGCACUUUGCAACUACGUAGAUGCACGAAAUGCAUAAUAGUGGCAUAUGCAGAAUCCAUUGUGAAACCAUCUAAUUUUGCCUCAUAAAAUUAUUUUCCUUUUGUAAUCGUUUCAAAAUUAUAGCCUAGCUUACUUGAAGGAGUUAUCUCGUGUUGUAUGUUGGGCAAUAUUUCUGGAAGAU